ensembl:lncRNA
GAUUGUUUGCAGAUAAUGCUGUUCAAGCUCAACAGCUCUUUUAAGAGCUAACCCUCACAAACCUUCCUAAAAACUAAAAGAGCUAUUACUGAGUCUCAGCGAAUCUUGCCAUGAUCAGCUCUUCCAGGUACAUUUGUUUAAAAUAUUUUUGAAUCAACAUUUACUCAUCAAAUGCUCUGGUCUGAAUCUUAUUUUAAAUUAACUUAAUUAUAUGUUUAAUGAGCAAUGUUAAUUGCACACAGAGUAAGAUUAUCUUGUUUUUCAGAAGAGAAGGAAGACCAAGGAAAUGAUUUGCUCAUGAGGAAUGAAGAUGGCCAUCUUGAGCCCAAACAAAGACAGAAGUCCUCUGAUGAUCUCAUCAGCCAAAUGAGGGGUUUUGACCAAGUGAUGCUCUUGAAAGGACUGAAAGAAGAGGAUGUGGUAAAUUGUCUUCAGAGAAAAACCUUCUCAAAAGGUCUCAAAACAGCUUGAAGAAUGGUCUGGGAUCUUAGGACUGAGAGAUCCUCUGGCUGAGAAAAGGCUACACCACAUCAGUGCUGGAUAUCAACCACAAACAGUUUCCAGACAUGAGAGAAGAAGAACACGAUGGGGAGAUGAAACCAGUUUAGAUGUGAUGAUGGGAAUCAUUAUUUUCUGGAACAGUAUCACAUGUCUUAAAUGUAUCACAUGAUCUGUAUCACAGUUGACUGGAUGGAUUAUUUUUACUUUUAAGGACAUUUCAUCACUCAUCUGUGUGAACUGAUUAAUUUAUGAUAUUAAUGAAUUUUUGAUCCUUUAUUAUUUUCCUUGAACUGUGUUUGUCUUGAAGCUACUUUAUCAACUUCAUAGUCUAUGCUUCAAUAAAAUUAAUAUGGUGAAUAUUGUGUGUUGAAAAUUCUUGGUAAAUUCAUAAUUUUACUAGAUACUGUAGGCUACUAUGGGUUUAUUCUACACUUGAAAAACUACAUAUUAAUUACCAGGAUUAUUUUUUGCUUAAACAUUAAUGACAUCUGGAACAACAAUACACCAGAAAGUUAGUAUUGUAUAUAUUUAAUCACAAAUAUGCCUAUAUAUAUAUCUAUAUAAAGGGAUUUACUAGAUGAAUUAUUUUGAAAAGCCAUUUACUUUAUAGUUACAAACACUUGAGGGAUAACUGAGAGUAGCAGGAAUGAUCAACAUGGAUCUUGUACUGCAUUAAAUCCAAGAGCACGCACAUUACUGAUGUUCAGCAUCUGAGGACCCAGAUAAGGGGGUGAGGAGGACAUUUUUACACUGAUUGUUGCUAAUUAGUUAAUAUAUAUAGUAUUCUGAGUACUCCAUUAAUUAUUCCUUGUGGAAUAGUGAAGUAUCACAAUGUGUAUAAAUUGUCCUUGAUUAUUGCUUAACAGUGGGGAAUAGAUAAUGGCAUGUUGUUGCAGGUUUAUCCAUUAUAUUUAUUACUGUUAACUUCAAAAAUAAAAUAAAUAAUCUAUAAUUUUUAUUAUUAAAUCAUUUCUUUCUAAUUUUGCCAUGUUUCAUCAGAUGGCCUCACCAUGUCCUGUCAAAAGCUUUACUGCUCAUGACAUAAGAAUAAGAAAAGGUUAGUCUAUGAAAACUGUCAGAUAUAAAUGUGACUCAGCUCAGUUUGUUGUCCAUUAUGAGGAGAAUACAUACAUGUAGGUUUUACUGCCCUUCUACCCCCAGGGGCCCAGUAGCACCCCCCGGAAGAGCCAAAAACUGUACAUUUGAAAUGGCUGUAAAUCAGAGUCCAAUUAAUGAAUCAAAGAGAAAACCAGAAGAAUUUUUACUUAUGCUAUGCUGAUAAAAUAAUGUCGGGCACAGUUUUCAGAAAUAAAUGGAAAUGUUUCAUAAAGCCAUUUUAAAUAUUGCUCCCUCUAAAAUACCAAAUUUCACUCUGUCUUUCAAUUAUAUCAUAGAGGUUUACACAAUGAAACUAUUCAUAUAUCCAGUUUUCCAUUAAAUAUAUUAUUUAUUUCAUUUCGUCAAUAAAACGAUUUAAACUACAUUACCCACAAGCCUCCGUCGUUCUAUAUAUGGAAAGGCGAAACUAGGGGCUGUUUUUUGUAGUUCAUCGAAGUUAUGAUUAGGGUUAGGGUUAGGAUCUCGCUAAAGAGGUAAUUUUCCUCAACAUAGCAACCCUUAAUUGUUGACUUAAUAUAUUACUAAUGUGAUAAUAGUAGCAAAACGUACUUUUGUAACACGAUGCGCUGUUUAGUAUGGGUUAAAGGAUAGUCCAACCACAGACAACCCUGCGAUGACAAGGGACAUUGACAGCCAAUGAUAUCAAAGCUGAGCAGGGGCGUCACGCUUCCUUAUCCAUUUAUGACCGAUGACUUUCGUUUUUCGGCUGAAGGGAUAGAUUGGUUAACAAUCAAUAACAUUUGCUACCUAUUAGAUUGUGUUUUAUUAACGUCUACACCUUCCUCCAACAAUAAUGCAAAUGCGCUAAUUAUUGUUUUCAGCUUGACAAAAAUUGGGCAAUAUUGAUGAGCACAUGGCCAGCAUUCGCAGUUCUAUCGAACCGAUUCCUCUCAUUAAAUCUUUUUUUUUUUUCAAAGACAGGUGCAUUUUCUAAUCAAAUGAUUAGC